GCACUGGGAAUUCUCUCAGGUUGGCUCCUGUGUCCUUUUAAUUUGCUUCCAUUUUUACUUACUUAUUUUCAGCAUUUACUUUCUGGCAAUUCAAGAUACUACUACAGGCUCAUCUUUGUAUUUUCUCUGCCCCAGCCCUAGAAUCAGCCAUGAAGUCCUCUACUAGGAUUUUAUAAGAACAGAAUCACUCCUCAACAGUCCAGGCUAUGCUAAGAAAGUACUGUCACCACCUGUUCAGCUAUCACAAAGCCUGGCACUCUGUGGACAAUAAAUGCAGAAUGAAACAAAUAAGGUUAUUUUCCUGCUCAGACUUUGGCUGAAAUGGAGUAUAGAAACCUCUUCACAUGUAAGUGUAAGUUGAAUAUGGUAAUACAUUUCAAAAAUGAUGUCAAAGAUGCCACUUGACUACCACAAAUAUGGAAUCAACAUAUGGUGUAUCCCUGAAGAAUAUGAAGAACAUUUUUUAUUUUAGAGGCAGCAUCUAUUUCUUAAUCUACAUGGCAUCUCAAUAAAGCAUAUGAUACUAUUAUACCAGAGGUCUCCACCAGUUAUGAUACUUCUGUACAAACAAUCCUAAAAAGUUCAACAGUUUUCUGAGACUACACAUUAAUAUAUAGAGCAUCUACUAUUCAUAUACUUUAGUGUGUGAGAUACAUACUUUCUCAUGACAAACACGGAAAGUU